UGACUCAUGACCACAGCAGAUGGAGCAGUGAGUCACCUACCUGAUGUUAUUAGACUUGUGACAACAAGAAACUAGAUGAAACCUCUAAACUGCAUCUGCUUUCCAGACCACAGAAAUACAGUAUAUUGAAUUUGCUUGGACUUACACAGACUGCAAAGCCUGAUUCUAGGCAUCAAGAAAUCCCCCAAAGGUCACACAACAAAUUGCUCCUCGAACCUUCCUCAGAAUGCUCUACAGGACUGGAAAACAAAAGUGGUUUUUAAUCUAAGGGAUUCUGUAACCUCUGUUGAACUGCAAGGCUGAGCUCCUUGAUGCCUGAGCAUGUCUCAGAGGGCGUCACGGCACCUGGGAGUCUGCACCAUGCACAGAUUACUCUUAUCACUUCUCUGCUAGCUCAGACGUCAGAAACAGCUCAGCAGGAAACAACC